rnacentral:misc_RNA from 1 species
UCCGGUUUGUCACCGGCAGUCUCGCAUGAGUCCCCAACUAAAUGCUGGCAACAUGCGACGGGGGUUGCGCUCGUUGCGGGACUUAACCCAACAUCUCACGACACGAGCUGACGACAGCCAUGCAGCACCUGUGUCGGCUCCCCUUGCGAGGUCGGGCCCCUUUCAGUUUCCUACCACCGACAUGUCAAACCCAGGUAAGGUUUUUCGCGUUGCGUCGAAUUGAACCACAUGCUCCACCGCUUGUGCGGGUCCCCGUCAAUUCCUUUGAGUUUCGGUCUUGCGACCGUACUCCCCAGGCGGGGUGCUUAACGCGUUAGCUACGGCGCCGCAGGGGUCAAUACCCGCGACACCUAGCACUCAUCGUUUACGGCGUGGACUAC